AGCGAACGCUGGCGGCGUACCUAACACAUGCAAGUCGAACGGGGAUCAUCGGGUUAGCAAUAAUUCGGUGGUUCUAGUGGCGCACGGGUGAGUAACACGUGGGUAACCUGCCCUUGAGACCGGAAUACCCCCUCGAAAGGGGGGCGUAAUACCGGAUACGUUCCACGGGUCGAAAGAUCUGAGGAGGAAAGGUGGCGCAAGCUGCCGCUCUUGGAGGGGCUCGCGGCCUAUCAGCUAGUUGGCGGGGUAACGGCCCACCAAGGCUAUGACGGGUAGCUGGUCUGAGAGGACGACCAGCCACACGGGGACUGAGACACGGCCCCGACUCCUACGGGAGGCAGCAGUGGGAAUUUCGCAAUGGGCGAAAGCCUGACGGAGUGACGCCGCGUGU
rnacentral:rRNA from 1 species